rnacentral:rRNA from 1 species
UACGGAGGGUGCGAGCGUUGUCCGGAAUCACUGGGCGUAAAGGGCGCGUAGGCGGCCCUGGCAGUCGGUGGUGAAAGCCCGUGGCUCAACUGCGGGUCGGCCACCGAUACUCCAGGGCUCGAGUUUGGUAGAGGCAGAUGGAAUUCCGGGUGUAGCGGUGGAAUGCGUAGAGAUCCGGAAGAACACCGGUGGCGAAGGCGGUCUGCUGGGCCAAGACUGACGCUGAGGCGCGACAGCGUGGGGAGCAAACAGGAUUAGAUACCCUGGUAGUCCACGCCGUAAACGAUGGGCACUAGGUGCUUGGGGGAGCGACCCCUUGAGUGCCGGCGCUAACGCAUUAAGUGCCCCGCCUGGGGAGUACGGCCGCAAGGCUGAA